AUGCUUACCUGGCAGGGGAGAUACCAUGAUCAUGAAGGUGGUUUUCCCAGGGUGACCCUCAUCCAUUGCACCCCGGAUGGGCUGGCCCCCGCGAUUUCCCUAAAUGCAGGAAACUCGACUGGCAUCAUUUGUGGUAGUAGGGACUGCGUUUGCACUCUCCCCU
ensembl:snRNA U1 U1 spliceosomal RNA